GGAAGCCUUCCUCCCUCGUGUGGGUGAGCGGGCGUGGGCGCGGAAGCCGCCGGCUUUCAUGUCCCUGGCACGGCUGUGCUCCGGCUGCUGGCUGCCUGGGAGGCUGCCGGGAGGCCGGUCCCAAGCUCCAGAGAGUGGCAGCUUGGGGUAGGUGAGAGGGACGGUGGCCCAGCUGCCCCUUUUGGCCACUGGGCCAGGACACUGAGUGCCGGGAGAGGUGGGGCUGAGGACGAGGCCUGGGAGGAUGGGGGGGGGGGGUUGCGGUUGGCAGGCACAGGUGCCCCCAGUGCCCAUUAGAUGGGCUUCCUUUAGUCCUGGUGCUGCCCUGGGCCCCGGCGUCUCUCCCACCACCUCGCUUAGGGCCCGAGUAGCAGCCUUAGCCGGUCCUGAAGACUGCCGUGAGCUGCGUAGACCUCAGCCUGAACAGAGGCAUAGACUCCUUCCUGGCAGUCACAGCGGCCUCCUGUGCUGUCCCUUCACCCUUUGUCUGGUUGGGAUCACAGAGACGCGAGCAAGCGAGUGGGAUGCUUCUGGUGGGUGCUGAGCGGGGAGGCAGGGAGGCUGCGUUCAGGAGGAGUUGCCCCAAGGGCCCGAAGGACUCCCAGCUGGGUGAGAGGGGUCCUUCAGGGCUUUCAGCUCCACGGCCCCGGCUGUCCUGCCUGGUGGGUUCCGGUGGGGUCUUGUGAAACGGGAAUGUGCCGAGAGCGGUCCAGGUGCCUGGGAGGUCAGCCAAGUCAGGGUCCGGUCAGGCUGGGGCUCCUGGGGAAGCUCGAAGCCCUAUUGUCUCUGCCCCCCCCCCCCGCCCCCAGCUUCUGUGCCUCCCAGGCCCUGGGGCAGCCCCCUGUAAGCCCCACAGGCUGUCCCUGUGACCCCAGGUGUCCUGACAGAGUGAUGGGGCCUUCACAUCAGCCCCGUCUUUGGCCUUGGUCUCGGUCUCGGCGUCCCCAGGCUUGGCCUUUGAAACUUCCUCCCGGAGAGCAGAGGGGGCGCUCUCACCUGUGGCUGCCCUUUCCACUGAGGGCUGAGGACCAGGACCCUCUGGCCAGCUUUGGGGCUUGCAGCCAUGGUCCUCGGGUACGGAGACCGGAGCGGUAGACCGUGGGGCCCCUUUGUGGGCGGCCCUGAAUCUGCACCUCAGGUUAGCCCCUGCCUCCAGGGAGCACGUCAGGGCCUAUGUGACCCAUCCCUGUCCUGCACCUGAGCGAGAGCCCCGCACCACUACCCCCCGUGGGAGGAGACUCUGGAGAGGCAGUUCCUGGACGCCCAGGGCAGGGUGUGGGGGCCCCGGUGCGGUGCCCUCCCUGUGGCCAGGGCUCCACACCAGUCACUUCCAGGUGACCGCCCGGUGCUGAGUCAGGGACCUCGAGCCUGAGCUUUGGGGUUCUGGGUGGCAGACACUCAAAGGUAGCUGACCCGGUACCUCCCCGCCCAGGACUUCCAAAGCGCCUUGGCUCCAAGAGCCCCCGCUCGCCAUGCCUGGGCCUGGGCCUGGGCCGGCCGAGGGGCCCCCGCUCAGCGGGUAUGGGGGCUCCCCCUCCCCCUGACGGCAGCCCACCAGCUGCUGCACAGACCCCCGCGCUCUGGGUCCUCUGAGCAACACUGCCUGUUCUCUUCCUCCACACCAGUCCCGUGUAUCUGUUUUCAUCUCCCCUGACCCGUCGGCCUCUUACAGGCUCCGCUGAGGGUGGGGGCUUCUAGGCCUGUUCCCUUGGGUCAUCAGGAAUGCCGAAGGCAUGUGCCGUGAGAACGUCCUGCUGGUGUUGGGGCUGGCUCCCGGAGGGACCCCUGUGGUCUCACAGCCAGCCCGGCUCGUGCUGGGGGUGGGGGGUGGCACAGCGGGACCCAGUAGAGCCGGGCGGGGUGGGGGGCAGUUCCCGGGAGCAGGGCAGCGGACUGCGCUUGCGGUGGGGACCUGGCUGGGGCGUGGCCCUGGUCGGCAGAGCCCUGGGCCCGGUGUGUGCCACUUAGCUUCCCAUGCAGCCCCCAAGAGGCCACCACGAAAGUGGAUGCAGCCCGCCCUGCCCACCCGCUGCGGCCUCUGCCCACGGUGCCCACCUGAUGCCCCGAGCCCCCUUCUGUUCUCCCUGCAGGCAGAUCUCUUCCCUGCUGCCCUCGUGCACUUUGGAGCUGAGGAACCAACAGGUGGGCGGGGAGGAGGUCCGGGAGGGAGAUGUGUGCCCAGUACCCUAUUCCCAGGCCGCGUCCCCUCCCGGAGCAGAGCAGCAGCAGGGGGAGGGGGGCCCUCCAUGGCCUGAGGUGGGCUGGGUGUCCCGCAGGCCUCUUCCUGGAGCCCAGGCUGCUGGAACGCACCGUCUCCCCGUCUGCGGCUGACUUGCUGGUGGCCAGGUGAGUGCCCGCGGUGGGGAGGGGCGAGUCCCUGCUGUAGCGCGUCGGCCCUCCUGCAUCUCGGCCUCCUGCCCCCCAGGUGCAUGCCCAGGGCUGCUGGGGCCCCGCCCCCGAUGCCAGCCCCUGACCCUGCACCCCGUGACUUGGAGCCAACGGCAACGGCUGAGGCGGGGGCGGUGGGGCUCCCCGAAUCCCGCCCCGAGACGGCCCAGCCGGUCAAGAGGGAUCUGGGCAAGGUGCCCAAGUGGCUGAAGCUGCCAGGUACCGUGGCAGGGUGCAGCGGAGGGAGGGGCUGCCUGCCGACGGGGAGGCCCUCGGGUCAUCUUGGAGCAGCGGAGGGAGGGGCUGCCCGCCGACCCGGGGCCCUCGGGUCACGUUGGUGUUGGCAUUGCAGCCGGCAAGAGGUGAGAGCCACCAGCCUGGAGGUGCCCUGUCUGCCAGCUGCAGGACCCCUCCCCACCCUGAGCGGGAAUAAAGGUGUGAGCUUCUCUCGGGGUGCUUCUGUCAUCCUUUCUCCAGAAAGGGACCCCACCGCGCCCUGCCUGCAGCUCCCCACCCUGGGCUCAUCGAUUCUGCAGCCGGUCUGGACCCGCG
rnacentral:lncRNA from 1 species